UACGUAGGGGGCGAGCGUUGUCCGGAUUUAUUGGGCGUAAAGAGCUCGUAGGCGGUUUGGUAAGUUGGAUGUGAAAUCUCCAGGCUCAACUUGGAGGGGUCAUUCGAUACUGCCAUGACUAGAGUUCGGUAGGGGAGUGUGGAAUUCCUGGUGUAGCGGUGAAAUGCGCAGAUAUCAGGAGGAACACCGGUGGCGAAGGCGGGUCUCUGGGCCGUAACUGACGCUGAGGAGCGAAAGCGUGGGGAGCGAAUGGG
rnacentral:rRNA from 1 species